GAUGAACGCUGGCGGCGCGCCUAACACAUGCAAGUCGAACGGCACCCCUCCUCGGAGGGAAGCGAGUGGCGAACGGCUGAGUAACACGUGGAGAACCUGCCCCCUCCCCCGGGAUAGCCGCCCGAAAGGACGGGUAAUACCGGAUACCCCGGGGUGCCGCAUGGCACCCCGGCUAAAGCCCCGACGGGAGGGGAUGGCUCCGCGGCCCAUCAGGUAGACGGCGGGGUGACGGCCCACCGUGCCGACAACGGGUAGCCGGGUUGAGAGACCGACCGGCCAGAUUGGGACUGAGACACGGCCCAGACUCCUACGGGAGGCAGCAGUGGGGAAUCUUGCGCAAUGGGGGGGACCCUGACGCAGCGACGCCGCGUGCGGGACGGAGGCCUUCGGGUCGUAAACCGCUUUCAGCAGGGAAGAGUCAAGACUGUACCUGCAGAAGAAGCCCCGGCUAACUACGUG
rnacentral:rRNA from 1 species